rnacentral:misc_RNA from 1 species
GUUGACUAUGAUUGCUCGUGUGACUGAUGGUCUUCCUUUAGCGGAGGGGCUGGAUGAUGGCCGUGAUAUUCAAGAUGCAGAUUUCUACAAACAGCAAGCCAAGUCCUUGUUUAAGAACCUCUCUAUGGGCCAGAUUGAGGUAUCAAGGAUGUCUGUAGAAACUGGGCCUUAUAUUUUCCAUUAUAACAUUGAAGGCCGUGUUUGUUAUUUGACAAUGUGUGACCGGUCUUAUCCCAAGAAACUUGCUUUUCAAUACCUAGAAGACCUCAAGAAUGAGUUUGAGCGUGUCAAUGGGAGUCAAAUCGAAACUGCUGCCAGACCAUAUGCUUUUAUUAAAUUU